rnacentral:rRNA from 1 species
UACAGAGGUCCCAAGCGUUGUUCGGAUUCAUUGGGCGUAAAGGGUGCGUAGGCGGCGCGGUAAGUCGGGUGUGAAAUCUCGGAGCUUAACUCCGAAACUGCAUUCGAUACUGCCGUGCUUGAGGACCGGAGAGGAGACUGGAAUUUACGGUGUAGCGGUGAAAUGCGUAGAUAUCGUAAGGAAGACCAGUGGCGAAGGCGGGUCUCUGGACAGUUCCUGACGCUGAGGCACGAAGGCCAGGGGAGCAAACGGG